UACAGAGGGUGCGAGCGUUGUCCGGAAUCACUGGGCGUAAGGGCGCGUAGGCGGCUUGAUAAGGUUGCGGUGAAAGCCCGGGGCUCAACCCCGGGUCGGCCGUGGCAACUGUCGAGCUGGAGCACUGUAGAGGCAGGUGGAAUUCCGGGUGUAGCGGUGGAAUGCGUAGAGAUCCGGAAGAACACCGGUGGCGAAGGCGGCCGCUGGGCAGUGGCUGACGCUGAGGCGCGACAGCGGUGGGGAGCAAACAGG
rnacentral:rRNA from 1 species